UACGGGGGGAGCAAGCGUUGUUCGGAUUUACUGGGCGUAAAGCGCACGUAGGCGGACUGUUAAGUCGGGGGUGAAAUCCUGGGGCUCAACCUCAGAAUUGCCUCCGAUACUGGCAGUCUCGAGUGCGGGAGAGGUGAGUGGAAUUCCCAGUGUAGAGGUGAAAUUCGUAGAUAUUGGGAAGAACACCAGUGGCGAAGGCGGCUCACUGGCCCGUAACUGACGCUGAGGUGCGAAAGCGUGGGGAGCAAACAGG
rnacentral:rRNA from 1 species